rnacentral:tRNA from 1 species
UACGGACUUAAAAUCCGUCGAUUUUCGAAAUCGUGA